rnacentral:rRNA from 1 species
UGCCAGUCGAGCGGUAAGGCCCUUCGGGGUACACGAGCGGCGAACGGGUGAGUAACACGUGAGCAACCUGCCCCUGACUCUGGGAUAAGCGGUGGAAACGCCGUCUAAUACCGGAUACGACCCGCCACCUCAUGGUGGAGGGUGGAAAGUUUUUUCGGUCAGGGAUGGGCUCGCGGCCUAUCAGCUUGUUGGUGGGGUAACGGCCUACCAAGGCGAUUACGGGUAGCCGGCCUGAGAGGGCGACCGGCCACACUGGGACUGAGACACGGCCCAGACUCCUGCGGGAGGCAGCAGUGGGGAAUAUUGCGCAAUGGGCGAAAGCCUGACGCAGCGACGCCGCGUGGGGGAUGACGGCCUUCGGGUUGUAAACCUCUUUUACCACCAACGCAGGCUCCGGGUUCUCUCGGGGUUGACGGUAGGUGGGAAUAAAGGACCGGCUAACUACGUGCCAGCAGCCGCGGUAAUACGUAGGGUCCGAGCGUUGUUCCGGGAAUUAUUGGGCGUAAAGAGCUCGUAGGCGGCGUGUCGCGUUUGCUGUGAAAGACCGGGGCUUAACUCCGGUUCUGCAGUGGAUACGGGCAUGCUAGAGGUAGGUAGGGGAGACUGGAAUUCCUGGUGUAGCGGUGAAAUGCGCAGAUAUCAGGAGGAACACCGGUGGCGAAGGCGGGUCUCUGGGCCUUACCUGACGCUGAGGAGCGAAAGCAUGGGGAGCGAACAGGAUUAGAUACCCUGGUAGUCCAUGCCGUAAACGUUGGGCGCUAGGUGUGGGGACUUUCCACGGUUUCCGCGCCGUAGCUAACGCAUUAAGCGCCCCGCCUGGGGAGUACGGCCGCAAGGCUAAAACUCAAAGGAAUUGACGGGGGCCCGCACAAGCGGCGGAGCAUGUUGCUUAAUUCGACGCAACGCGAAGAACCUUACCAAGGUUUGACAUCACCCGUGGACCUGUAGAGAUACAGGGUCAUUUAGUUGGUGGGUGACAGGUGGUGCAUGGCUGUCGUCAGCUCGUGUCGUGAGAUGUUGGGUUAAGUCCCGCAACGAGCGCAACCCUUGUUCCAUGUUGCCAGCACGUAAUGGUGGGGACUCAUGGGAGACUGCCGGGGUCAACUCGGAGGAAGGUGGGGACGACGUCAAGUCAUCAUGCCCCUUAUGUCUUGGGCUGCAAACAUGCUACAAUGGCCGGUACAAUGGGCGUGCGAUACCGUAAGGUGGAGCGAAUCCCUUAAAGCCGGGCUCAGUUCGGAUUGGGGUCUGCAACUCGACCCCAUGAAGGUGGAGUCGCUAGUAAUCGCGGAUCAGCAACGCCGCGGUGAAUACGUUCCCGGGCCUUGUACACACCGCCCGUCACGUCAUGAAAGUCGGCAACACCCGAAACUUGCGGCCUAACCCUUCGGGGAGGGAGUGAGUGAAGGUGGG